UACGUAGGGGGCAAGCGUUGUCCGGAAUUAUUGGGCGUAAAGAGCUGGUAGGCGGCCUGUUGCGUCCGCUGUGAAAACCCGGGGCUUAACCCCGGGCCUGCAGUGGAUACGGGCAGGCUGGAGGCAGGCAGGGGAGAACGGAAUUCCCGGUGUAGCGGUGAAAUGCGUAGAUAUCGGAAGGAACGCCGGUGGCGAAAGCGGCGUGCUGGGCCUUCUCUGACGCUGAGGCGCGAAAGCCAGGGGAGCGAACGGG
rnacentral:rRNA from 1 species